CUUGUCUGUGCAUAAUGUGGAAUUAAAAGCUUGAAUGAUGAACAUAUAAAAGAAAUAGCUCACAUCCCUAAGGUGGCAUGUUAGUAAUAACCAGUGUGGUACCCAGGGGCAGUGCCGGGUUACCCAUAAGACGACCAAGAUGGCCGCCUAGGGCCCAAGUUCUGAGCUUUGAGCUCUGGGUCUGAGUGAUGCCGCAGUAAUCCAUUACU